GACGAACCGAGCGAACGUUGUUCGGAAUCACUGGGCUUAAAGGGCGCGUAGACGGGCUGUCGCGUCCGGGGUGAAAUCCCACGGCUCAACCGUGGAACUGCCUCGGAUACGGGCGGCCUCGAGGGGGGUAGGGGCAUCUGGAACUGUGAGUGGAGCGGUGAAAUGCGUUGAUAUUCACAGGAACUCCGGUGGCGAAGGCGAGGUGCUGGACCCCUCCUGACGCUGAUGCGCGAAAGCCAGGGGAGCAAACGGG
rnacentral:rRNA from 1 species